UGGGGAAUAUUGGACAAUGGACCAAAAGUCUGAUCCAGCAAUUCUGUGUGCACGAUGACGUUUUUCGGAAUGUAAAGUGCUUUCAGUUGGGAAGAAAAAAAUGACGGUACCAACAGAAGAAGUGACGGCUAAAUACGUGCCAGCAGCCGCGGUAAUACGUAUGUCACAAGCGUUAUCCGGAUUUAUUGGGCGUAACGCGCGUCUAGGUGGUUAUGUAAGUCUGAUGUGAAAAUGCAGGGCUCAACUCUGUAUUGCGUUGGAAACUGCAUGACUAGAGUACUGGAGAGGUAAGCGGAACUACAAGUGUAGAGGUGAAAUUCGUAGAUAUUUGUAGGAAUGCCGAUGGGGAAGCCAGCUUACUGGACAGAUACUGACGCUAAAGCGCGAAAGCGUGGGUAGCAAACAGGAUUAGAUACCCUGGUAGUCCACGCCGUAAACGAUGAUUACUAGGUGUUGGGGGUUGAACCUCAGCGCCCAAGCUAACGCGAUAAGUAAUCCGCCUGGGGAGUACGUACGCAAGUAUG
rnacentral:rRNA from 1 species